rnacentral:rRNA from 2 species
GGGUUGUGAGGUUAAGCGACUAAGCGUACACGGUGGAUGCCCUGGCAGUCAGAGGCGAUGAAGGACGUGCUAAUCUGCGAUAAGCGUCGGUAAGGUGAUAUGAACCGUUAUAACCGGCGAUUUCCGAAUGGGGAAACCCAGUGUGAUUCGUCACACUAUCAUUAACUGAAUCCAUAGGUUAAUGAGGCGAACCGGGGGAACUGAAACAUCUAAGUACCCCGAGGAAAAG